rnacentral:rRNA from 1 species
AACGAACGCUGGCGGCAUGCCUAACACAUGCAAGUCGAACGAGAUCUUCGGGUCUAGUGGCGCACGGGUGCGUAACGCGUGGGAAUCUGCCCUUUGGUUCGGAAUAACAGUUGGAAACGACGGCUAAUACCGGAUGAUGACGAAAGUCCAAAGAUUUAUCGCCAGAGGAUGAGUCCGGGUAGGAUUAGCUAGUUGGUGUGGUAAAGGCGCACCAAGGCGACGAUCCUUAGCUGGUCUGAGAGGAUGAUCAGCCACACUGGGACUGAGACACGGCCCAGACUCCUACGGGAGGCAGCAGUGGGGAAUAUUGGACAAUGGGCGAAAGCCUGAUCCAGCAAUGCCGCGUGAGUGAUGAAGGCCUUAGGGUUGUAAAGCUCUUUUACCCGGGAUGAUAAUGACAGUACCGGGAGAAUAAGCUCCGGCUAACUCCGUGCCAGCCGCCGCAGUAA